UACAGAGGUCUCAAGCGUUGUUCGGAUUCAUUGGGCGUAAAGGGUGUGUAGGUGGCAGCCGUAAGUCGGGUGUGAAAUUUCGGAGCUUAACUCCGAAACUGCAUUCGAUACUGCGGUGCUUGAGGACUGGAGAGGAGACUGGAAUUCAUGGUGUAGCAGUGAAAUGCGUAGAGAUCAUGAGGAAGACCAGUGGCGAAGGCGGGUCUCUGGACAGUUCCUGACACUGAGACACGAAGGCCAGGGGAGCAAACGGG
rnacentral:rRNA from 1 species